rnacentral:rRNA from 1 species
UACGGAGGGUGCAAACGUUGCUCGGAAUCAUUGGGCGUAAAGCGCACGUAGGCGGCUUGGCAAGUCGGAUGUGAAAUCCCUCGGCUCAACCAAGGAAGUGCAUCCGAAACUGCUGAGCUUGAGUACUUAAGAGGAUCGCGGAAUUCCCGGUGUAGAGGUGAAAUUCGUAGAUAUCGGGAGGAACACCAGUGGCGAAGGCGGCGAUCUGGGAAGAUACUGACGCUGAGGUGCGAAAGCGUGGGAGCAAACAGG